rnacentral:tRNA from 1 species
GCGCCUAUAGCUCAGUUGGUUAGAGCGCUACCUUGACAUGGUAGAGGUCCCCUGUUCGAGUCAGGGUAGGCGCACCA